UAUGAAACUCCAUUAAAUCGACGCAAUAAAUAACUCUACGGUUUAGCCGAGUCGAGGAAGUGAAACCAAAAGAUCCUCAUCCGCUUCCGGUGACGUUGUCAUGGAGUCAUGUUGCGGUAAACAUGGAAUAUAGACAACAACUAUGCGAUGUGCUCGGUUUCCCUUGAAACGAGGCUUUUUGAUGACAUGUUGUGUUUAUGUCACGCAUGUGAAAAAGCAGACUGUGUCUAGUUUAACAAAUUGGCGAUGUUUACUAACUAGUCAAGAUGUGGAGUCGUGGAGGAAGGAGUUCAGCUCUGGAGCGGGCGAAGGCUCAGCUCUCUGGACGGAGAAUCUCAAACAGUGGGCUUUCAAGAGAUGUGGAGAACUCUGGAAAAUUCGUGUCACCAUCCAGACAGAUGCAAUUCCAGGAUUUGAGCGAAGUCUUUUCGCCAUCAGAAAGUGAAAACCAGGACCCUGUGAAGACUACGACUUUGGAGAGUUUCGGCAUGGGCGGAGGGAGCCGAUUUUUGAAGAAGACCUCCAAAGAUGCCACUGGAGACAUAGUGUCAUCUGCUUCUCGAAAAAUUCCUGCAGGAACGUUUAUACCUCAACGCAGUUCACAAAGCGCAGCUUUGAGUAGGCUAGCGCUCAUCGAGAACCGCAUCAGAAACCAGAAAACCAAAAGUGACGGCGCUAGUAUCCAUGCAAACCUCUCAGAACCACAAGAGACACGUACAUCUUUACAGUCCAGCAGUGAGCUGAGCAUGACAGGGAAUCGCUUUCUAAAGAAGAGGACUGUGUCCGCACCUCGAGAGCAGAAGGUUCCUGAGAGAACGCUUGGUCUGAAUGAACGUAAAGAAAGGAGAGUCAGUUUAGACAGCGACGAACAGGACAUGCGAAGACUUCUAGGAGAUUCUUUUAGCUUAUCAGAAGGUUCCUUGCAAAAUGCAGCAAGGCAAAAGAGUCCUCAACCAGUUAAAAAGUUAUACAAGAAGAGCAGUGAAAAGUCCACCGUACCUUCGCCGACUCCUGAAAAACAUGAAGUUCUCACCCAUCAAAGUCUUUCUCCUCCACCCAGCAGGCCUGAGUCGCACAUGGUCCGUUUUACUGAACAUUCAGUGUCCUCUGAAACAGAUCACAGUGAGAUCCGGUCUUUGGACGAUCUUUUUCCUGUUGCUGCGGUACCUGAUUCUGAUGAUACUCUGAGCGAGAGGAGUGCAGUAUUGGAUGGUAAAACACCUGUGGAUUCAACAUCUACCAAUCAUCUGGAAACAUUCUUAACUAUUGUUAAAUUUAAUUGUUCACUGUGUUUUAAAAUGUUUUUCUCUUGAUGACCUACCCACAGAUUUCAAACUGAACGUAAUGACAUUGGACGAUCUUGCCCCUAUACCAUUUGAAGCAGCUGAAAUCUCACAAGAAAAGGUGCGUUGAACGUCAUAUCUGAACAUAAUUUACGCAAGAUUUUUUUAAUACUGAUAAACAUUGUCUUUAAUCACAGAAAGAAACACAAGCCAGACAGGAAGACAGAAAUAAGAAGUCAUCCAACAUUUCAGAUGUUGCUUCACCAACCACACUAGAAGAGGCCUCGGCUGCCUACGAGAGUGAUUUUGAG
ensembl:lncRNA